AAACCGUUCAGGGGUAAACCUGAGAAACCCAAAAGAUCGAAUGGGGAGAUUCAUCGUCAGCGACUGCGGCUGCGCGCGGGUUCGGCGAUGUCGGUACCGGUUCUCCGGUCUCCGGCACGCGACCGCGCGUACGUUCGCCGGCGUCGGCGUGCACUUCUCCCCUAGUAGGACGUCGCGACCCGUUGGGUGUCGGUCUACGGCCCGGGUGGAUGCCUAUUCCGCGUCGCUUAAACGCGAACGGGGUAGACCCCUGGUUGCCCGACCGGCUGCUCGGCGGUACUCGCACGGUAUACGGCCGCAACUCGAACGCGCCAAGCCCGCUGCAAGCGCGGCCAGUGCACUCCCGGAGGCGCGGACGCAAUGCGCCGUCCCCGGGCCUGGCCAGCUGUUGGCUAGCGGUGUCCUUUGGCUGGCCGAAAAAUUUGGAGAUACCGGUCGGCGACGCUACUGCUUUGGGUACUUUCAGGA
rnacentral:rRNA from 1 species